rnacentral:rRNA from 1 species
AGUGAACGCUGGCGGUAGGCCUAACACAUGCAAGUCGAACGGCAGCACAGUAAGAGCUUGCUCUUACGGGUGGCGAGUGGCGGACGGGUGAGGAAUACAUCGGAAUCUACUUUUUCGUGGGGGAUAACGUAGGGAAACUUACGCUAAUACCGCAUACGACCUACGGGUGAAAGCAGGGGAUCUUCGGACCUUGCGCAAUUGAAUGAGCCGAUGUCGGAUUAGCUAGUUGGCGGGGUAAAGGCCCACCAAGGCGGCGAUCCGUAGCUGGUCUGAGAGGAUGAUCAGCCACACUGGAACUGAGACACGGUCCAGACUCCUACGGGAGGCAGCAGUGGGGAAUAUUGGACAAUGGGCGCAAGCCUGAUCCAGCCAUACCGCGUGGGUGAAGAAGGCCUUCGGGUUGUAAAGCCCUUUUGUUGGGAAAGAAAAGCAGCAGGUUAAUACCCCGCUGUUCUGACGGUACCCAAAGAAUAAGCACCGGCUAACUUCGUG